rnacentral:misc_RNA from 1 species
GAAUUCUAAGCCCACAGUUAAGUGGUUUUUUAUGGAUUUCACUUAAAAAGUGAGAUAGGAUCAGAAGCCCAAAAGUUUUUUUAAAAGCAGAUUUUUUUUUUCCCUCACAUGCCCAUAGUCUUAAAAUUUUCAACUAACAGGGACGCUCUAGUGCAGAUCAAGUUCUAGAGUCAGCUUUCAUGACUUGUUAGUUUUAAAAGUGAAUACUAAUUAAUUUUGGAAAUUGGAAGCUUGUAAGCUGAGCAAACAAG